rnacentral:misc_RNA from 1 species
AUUUGAAUUCGUAGAUAAUUUGGAAAUAGUCCAUGCAAGUCCAAAAAUUAAGUCGCAGCAAAUUAGGGAGAUUGCAGUUGGAAACUUGGAGUAACAAUAAUGUGAAAGUGACAUAAUGCCUCAAGAUUGUUACAUUCAAAAUUAAAUUGAUGCAUUGUUUUAUGAAUGUGCGUGCAGUGUGCACACAAUUUAAAACAGACAACACCAAAGCCACAACAAAGAUGAU